GACCGCGUAGCUCAGUUGGCAGAGCAUUGGGCUAUAGAGUAUUCCAAAGGUCGUAGGUUCGAUUCCCACCGUGGCCG